AUCGGGGGGUAACUACGCGAAAGCGUAGGUAAUACCGCAUACGCCCUACGGGGGAAAGCAGGGGAUCGCAAGACCUUGCACUAUUGGAGCGGCCGAUAUCGGAUUAGCUAUUUGGUGGGGUAACGGCUCACCAAGGCAACAAUCCGUAGCUGGUUUGAAAGGACAACCACCCUCCCUGGGACUGAGACAGGGCCCGGACCCCUACGGUAGGCAGCAGUGGGGAAUUUUGGACAAUGGGGGAAACCCUGAUCCAGCCAUCCCGCGUGUGCGAUGAAGGCCUUCGGGUUGUAAAGCACUUUUGGCAGGAAAGAAACGUCGUGGGUUAAUACCCCGCGAAACUGACGGUACCUGCAGAAUAAGCACCGGCUAACUACGUGCCAGCAGCCGCGGUAAUACGUAGGGUGCAAGCGUUAAUCGGAAUUACUGGGCGUAAAGCGUGCGCAGGCGGUUCGGAAGAAAGAUGUGAAAUCCCAGAGCUUAACUUUGG
rnacentral:rRNA from 1 species